rnacentral:rRNA from 1 species
UAAUUCCAGCUCCAAUAGCGUAUAUAAAAGUUGUUGCAGUUAAAAAGCUCGUAGUCGGAGGUGGGGCGUGCGGCGCGGGGCGCGCCAAUGGCGCGCGGCGCGCGCGGGCGCCUUCGUCGGUGCGAGGCGGGCGGCGCUUAGUUGCGGCGGCCGGCGAGUGCCGAUUUUUACUGUGAAAAAAUUAGAGUGUUCAAAGCAGGCGUUUGCUGUGAAUACAUUAGCAUGGGAUAUUGGAAGAAGCUCUGGCUUAUUCGUUGGUUGGUGGGCUGGAAGCAUGGUCAAGAGGAACGGUCGGGGGCACUCGUAUUUCAUUGUCAGAGGUGAAAUUCUUGGAUUUUUGAAAGACGAACAGCUGCGAAAGCGUUUGCCAAGGACGUUUUCAUUGAUCAAGAACGAAAGUUAGGGGAUCGAAGACGAUUAGAUACCAUCGUAGUCUUAACCAUAAACUAUGCCGAC